GGGCCCCGGCUGAGGCGGGCGUUGGGCGGGCGCUGCCCUCAGCCACGCGCGGGGCGGGGCCGGCGCCAGGCGCGGCGUGUGCGGAGCUGAGGGCACCGACAGCUCGACCCGGAGGCAGCGCGGGCCGCAGGCAGUGCUACGGGAGGCGACUCCAAGUCUACUUCUGAUGCCUCAGAGUAACAACAGAGAUAUCGGUGCUGUGUUCAGUGUAUUCUUCAAGAAUCAAUGGGAAUCAAAGUGAGAAUUCCACCAUGA